rnacentral:rRNA from 1 species
AACGAACGCUGGCGGCAUGCCUAACACAUGCAAGUCGAACGAGACCUUCGGGUCUAGUGGCGCACGGGUGCGUAACGCGUGGGAACCUGCCUUUAGGUUCGGAAUAACUCAGAGAAGUUUGAGCUAAUACCGGAUGAUGUCUUCGGACCAAAGAUUUAUCGCCUUUAGAUGGGCCCGCGUUGGAUUAGCUAGUUGGUGGGGUAAAGGCCUACCAAGGCGACGAUCCAUAGCUGGUCUGAGAGGAUGAUCAGCCACACUGGGACUGAGACACGGCCCAGACUCCUACGGGAGGCAGCAGUGGGGAAUAUUGGACAAUGGGCGAAAGCCUGAUCCAGCAAUGCCGCGUGAGUGAUGAAGGCCUUAGGGUUGUAAAGCUCUUUUAACCGAGAUGAUAAUGACGGUAGCGGGAGAAUAAGCUCCGGCUAACUCCGUG